UUCAAUACUGUUCAAUACACGCAAUGGUGUGCACUUUUCUCUUAGUAAGACGUUGUGAUCCAUUAGGAAUCGAGUGUCCAUCUAAUGUUGGAUUCUCAAUGGGCUACCAAUAGGCCGGUAUUGAAGUUCACUCUGACAAACAACACAAUCUUUUCGGUUGGGUAUAUUGUCUUGUGAGCGUAUCGUGUUCUGAUGUAGCUGCCUGAUGGAUUUUAAAGGCCAUAUCAUAGAUGCUUGUCAUCUCCCAAGCAAUUGGGAUUAUUAAUGGAUAUGUGCCCGAUCAACAACGGUUUCAUUUGGGAUACCUUUGGGACCCGUCUUGAAACACGGACCAAGGAGUCUAUCUAGUAUGCGAGUAAAUGGGGGAUUCACAUUAUAUAGAAAACCUAUUUGCGUAAAUAACUUAACUGUAAUUUAAUGGGAUUACGUGUAUAACAAGUGUAUGCACCUCCAUCCCGGAGUAUUUUCAUCACAUAUAUAGGGGCCUUGUGCUCUUAUAUAUAGAAAAUAUAUCAUGAGCAUACUGGACAUGACCSGAAAGAUGGUGAACUAUGCCUGAUCAGGUUGAAGUCAGGGGAAACCCUGAUGGAGGACCGAAGCAAUUCUGACGUGCAAAUCG
rnacentral:rRNA from 1 species